rnacentral:rRNA from 1 species
GACGAACGCUGGCGGCGUGCUUAACACAUGCGAGUCGAACGGAAAGGCCCUGCUUUUGUGGGGUGCUCGAGUGGCGAACGGGUGAGUAACACGUGAGUAACCUGCCCUUGACUUUGGGAUAACUUCAGGAAACUGGGGCUAAUACCGGAUAGGAGCUCCUGCUGCAUGGUGGGGGUUGGAAAGUUUCGGCGGUUGGGGAUGGACUCGCGGCUUAUCAGCUUGUUGGUGGGGUAGUGGCUUACCAAGGCUUUGACGGGUAGCCGGCCUGAGAGGGUGACCGGCCAGCUGGAGACGCAGAGCCGGCCGCACACCCGAGGGGGGGCGGCGGUGGGGAAUAUGGCAAGCGGGGCGGAAGCUUGAGGACGCGAGGCGGGGGGCGGGUGGACGGCCGGGGGGUUAUCAGCCCCUUUCGCCUGGGACGAAGCGUGUGGGACUUUAAGGGAAAAAGAAGCACCGCCUAACUACGGGCCAGCAGCCGCGCUAAUAGUCGGAACAGAAACCGUAUGACC